UUAACCGAAUAGGGGAGCCGGAGGGAAACCGAGUCUUAACCGGGCGUUAAGUUGCAGGGUAUAGACCCGAAACCCGGUGAUCUAGCCAUGGGCAGGUUGAAGGUUGGGUAACACUAACUGGAGGACCGAACCGACUAAUGUUGAAAAAUUAGCGGAUGACCUGUGGCUGGGGGUGAAAGGCCAAUCAAACCGGGAGAUAGCUGGUUCUCCCCGAAAGCUAUUUAGGUAGCGCCUCGUGAAUUCAUCUCCGGGGGUAGAGCACUGUUUCGGCUAGGGGGCCAUCCCGGCUUACCAACCCGAUGCAAACUGCGAAUACCGGAGAAUGUUAUCACGGGAGACACACGGCGGGUGCUAACGUCCGUCGUGAAGAGGGAAACAACCCAGACCGCCAGCUAAGGUCCCAAAGUCAUGGUUAAGUGGGAAACGAUGUGGGAAGGCCCAGACAGCCAGGAUGUUGGCUUAGAAGCAGCCAUCAUUUAAAGAAAGCGUAAUAGCUCACUGGUCGAGUCGGCCUGCGCGGAAGAUGUAACGGGGCUAAACCAUGCACCGAAGCUGCGGCAGCGACGCUGAUGCGUUGUUGGGUAGGGGAGCGUUCUGUAAGCCUGCGAAGGUGUGUCGUGAGGCAUGCUGGAGGUAUCAGAAGUGCGAAUGCUGACAUAAGUAACGAUAAAGCGGGUGAAAAGCCCGCUCGCCGGAAGACCAAGGGUUCCUGUCCAACGUUAAUCGGGGCAGGGUGAGUCGACCCCUAAGGCGAGGCCGAAAGGCGUAGUCGAUGGGAAACGGGUUAAUAUUCCCGUACUUGGUGUUACUGCGAAGGGGGGACGGAGAAGGCUAUGUUGGCCGGGCGACGGUUGUCCCGGUUUAAGCGUGUAGGUGUGUGUUCCAGGUAAAUCCGGUUCACUUUAACACUGAGGCGUGAUGACGAGGCACUACGGUGCUGAAGCAACAAAUGCCCUGCUUCCAGGAAAAGCCUCUAAGCAUCAGGUAACAUCAAAUCGUACCCCAAACCGACACAGGUGGUCAGGUAGAGAAUACCAAGGCGCUUGAGAGAACUCGGGUGAAGGAACUAGGCAAAAUGGUGCCGUAACUUCGGGAGAAGGCACGCUGACACGUAGGUGAAGUGAUUUACUCAUGGAGCUGAAGUCAGUCGAAGAUACCAGCUGGCUGCAACUGUUUAUUAAAAACACAGCACUGUGCAAACACGAAAGUGGACGUAUACGGUGUGACGCCUGCCCGGUGCCGGAAGGUUAAUUGAUGGGGUCAGCGCAAGCGAAGCUCCUGAUCGAAGCCCCGGUAAACGGCGGCCGUAACUAUAACGGUCCUAAGGUAGCGAAAUUCCUUGUCGGGUAAGUUCCGACCUGCACGAAUGGCGUAAUGAUGGCCAGGCUGUCUCCACCCGAGACUCAGUGAAAUUGAACUCGCUGUGAAGAUGCAGUGUACCCGCGGCAAGACGGAAAGACCCCGUGAACCUUUACUAUAGCUUGACACUGAACAUUGAGCCUUGAUGUGUAGGAUAGGUGGGAGGCUUUGAAGUGUGGACGCCAGUCUGCAUGGAGCCGGCCUUGAAAUACCACCCUUUAAUGUUUGAUGUUCUAACGUGGACCCGUGAUCCGGGUUGCGGACAGUGUCUGGUGGGUAGUUUGACUGGGGCGGUCUCCUCCUAAAGAGUAACGGAGGAGCACGAAGGUUGGCUAAUCCUGGUCGGACAUCAGGAGGUUAGUGCAAUGGCAUAAGCCAGCUUGACUGCGAGCGUGACGGCGCGAGCAGGUGCGAAAGCAGGUCAUAGUGAUCCGGUGGUUCUGAAUGGAAGGGCCAUCGCUCAACGGAUAAAAGGUACUCCGGGGAUAACAGGCUGAUACCGCCCAAGAGUUCAUAUCGACGGCGGUGUUUGGCACCUCGAUGUCGGCUCAUCACAUCCUGGGGCUGAAGUAGGUCCCAAGGGUAUGGCUGUUCGCCAUUUAAAGUGGUACGCGAGCUGGGUUUAGAACGUCGUGAGACAGUUCGGUCCCUAUCUGCCGUGGGCGCUGGAGAACUGAGGGGGGCUGCUCCUAGUACGAGAGGACCGGAGUGGACGCAUCACUGGUGUUCGGGUUGUCAUGCCAAUGGCACUGCCCGGUAGCUAAAUGCGGAAGAGAUAAGUGCUGAAAGCAUCUAAGCACGAAACUUGCCCCGAGAUGAGUUCUCCCUGAGACUUAGAGUCUCCUGAAGGAACGUUGAAGACGACGACGUUGAUAGGCCGGGUGUGUAAGCGCAGCGAUGCGUUGAGCUAACCGGUACUAAUGAACCGUGAGGCUUAACCUUACAACGCCGAA
rnacentral:rRNA from 1 species